ensembl:lncRNA
GUGGGUUCCAUCAACAGAGGGGUGUCCAGCAGGGUGAGGGGGGUGUUUGUCCCCCUGUAUUCUGCCCUCAUGAGGCCCCAUCUGUAGUACUGCAUCCAAGUCUGGGGCCCCCAACACAGGAAAGAUUGGGAGCUUUUGGAGAGGGUCCAGAGGAGGGCCGUGAUGAUGCAAGCGCUGGAGCACCUUCUCCUAUAAAUACAGGCUGAAGGAACUGGGCUUUUUCAGCCUGGAAAAGAGAAGACUGCAGGGAGACUGCAUUGCAGCCUUCUAGUGUUUAAAGGGAAUUGAUAAACAUGAGGGAAAUCAACUUUUUACAUGAGUAGAUAGUGACAGAACAAGGGAGAAUGGUUUUAAACUCAAGGAAGGGAGAUUUAGCUUAGAUGUCAGGGGGAAGUUUUUUACAGAGAGAGUAGUAAGGUGCUGGAACAGGUUGCCCGGAGAGGUUGUGGAUGUCCCUGGAGGCUUUCAAGGCCAGCUUGGAUGGGACACUGGGCAAUCUGAUCUGGUACAUGACCUAGUGUCUGGCAACUCUGUGGCAGGGCAGCUGGAACUUGAUGGUCAUUGAGCUCCAUUCCAACCCAAGCAAUUCUAUGGAAAUGAUCAGAUCCAUGGAGGAGAGAAGGGACAGUGGCACCAUGAGGCAUGAGACAGGAGAAGAACCCACAUGGAUGAGAAGAGUGAGCCAUAGCUGAGGCCUCCAGAAAACAAAGUGAGAGAAAGGAUGAUGACAGUGAGUAUGGGUGCAGCAUUGGUACUGCAGUGAAGGCUGUGAGGAUGUGUGAGGUCGCCUGGUGGGGUUAAAGAAUUGACCCAGCCUUUUAGAGAUGUUCGAUUCACCCAAGAAGCAGAGAUGCUGAAGAUGCAGCUCAUCUUAUCAUGAAGCAAUGUCAGCUACUUGGUACAUCUACUCCUCUCUGAGAUGAGGACCUACGAUAAUUAUGCCAGAAGAAGCCUGAAGAGGCUGAAGAGCUGUCCCUGAGCAUCGCAGUGUGUUCUGGUGCAAGAUGAAAUCCUUUGGAAAUGCAGCAGCAUCAGCCUGUUCAGAUUGGAGUAGAAGGGAGAGUCUCAGAACGAGUCAUGUUUGGGACACCGAAUGGGAGAUGAGGAGAGUUAAAUUUUACCACAGGCAUGUCCAACCCGUGACCCACAGGCUGCAUGCCACCUGGCACAGCUUGCACUGCGGCUGCCCCCUGCCCAGCGCCAUCAUGGUGAUGGCUUUCCCUGCCAAGCAGCCUGGCUUGGCCCACAGCGUGCACUUAUUGCUCACAACAACCACACAGCAGUGUGCAACCAGCACUGUCUGAGCUGAAACCAGGGCACAGGGAGGGUGUAGCACAGUGCUGACUCCAG